CUCUCUCUACCUUCUCUCUCCACUUUCUCUCUCUAAUUUCUCUCUCUAUAAUUUUUUCUCUAUUCAUUGAUUUCUCUCUCUAUAAAUCUUAUGGAUCAAUAGAGGAUCCUGAUACCUAGAUAACCCAAAUCAACUGGUUGACUCUAGGAGAGGUCCUGGAGUACUUAUGAUAUUUAGAUAUUUUUUUAUAAUUUCUCCAUCCUUAAUCAUACAUGAUUUUUAUGUUUAAUCCUGAUCAUGUAUUAG
rnacentral:lncRNA from 1 species